AUGGCGUCAUAAAUUGAUUUGAUUUUUAAUAUUUGUCUGGUAAACUGUGAUUGCAGUAAAUGGCACUAUUAAAUGGAUGCAUGAAAUUGAACCUGAGGUUAAAUUUAGCUAAUUUUUUCCUACUUAUUGCAGCUUUCAGCUCUGCUGUAUUAACGUUUCCAAUGUAUGGACUAUCAUAUACCUUAUAUUUGCUUCUGCUUGGCACUGUGUAAAUUUUGCAGCUCCACACUUUCUGGUCCAGGCUUAAAAGUGGACAAAAGUAGUGCUGGCUCAAAUUUAGCCUAUUACCUGAAGACACUUAAAAAUUCAACAUAGAAGCAAAUACUCACAUCUGCAAACCCAGUUGGAGAUAGAAAAAUAAGACACCAGCCAUGAGUGAGAAGAAGCAAGGUUCCAGAUUUAUUGGUUCCGUUCCACCACACGAGAUCCACACCGAUGAGAAUUGUCAGAAGUGAUCUGACACCUGGCGCUCAAGCUCCAGUAUUUAUACUGUAUUUACACAGUAAAUAACCAAUAUAUUUUAGAAAGACUGAUAUCAAUACCAAUAGGGUUAAAAAAGAGCUCAUCUACAUUACCAUGAUGUUUAAAAAGAGGCUUAUCAAAUUUACCAUGAUGCUUUGAAAGAGGCUUAUCAAAUUUACCAUGAUGUUUUGAAAGAGGACUUUCUGACUACCAUUAUGUUUUGAAAGAGGACUUUCUGACUACCAUUACGAUUGAAAGUGGGAGAGAGAGAAAACAAUUUAGAGAGACCUUGGUCUCACUGUUAUCUUGUGGGGGGGAGGGGGGGGGGGGGGACUUGACUCAGCUACCCUUCUAAAUGGCUCCUCAUGGUUCUCUCUUAAAAUUAAGGCCCCCGUCUACACCAUGCCUGACCCUUCCUCGCGAGACAAGAAUCUUCACCAUCUGAAUUAUGAGUGCCCGUCGUCAUUUUUCCUUCUUCUCUUUUCUUGGAGGGGCUGGAUUUGGAUCUGAACACUCACCAUCAGCUCGCGCAUAUCACUGCUGACAUCAUGGUGCUACUUGACGUUCUUCGCAGCACCCCCUCAGGAAAUGGAAAUGCGGGGUUCCCCCCCUCUCAGAUACAGAAUCCACCCCGUGAAUGUGUGUAUUGACGCCUCUACACAGACAGACCCUCUGCCUGACCCUCCCUCCAGCUUUCAGUCUGAGGAUGAUGUCACCUUCUCUGAUCUGGGCUCUGACCAGUCUUCCCUCUUCACACCUGUCAGUCCACCGUACUCUCAGUGUUCUCCUUAUUUCACCCUUGCUGGCUAUCCCAUGUCCCCAGGACGCACCCCAUUUUCUUCCCCCUACCGCUCUCCUCAGGAUUACGCACCCACCAGUCCUGUGAAUUUUCAAUAAAAUUACAUAUUACUCAUA